rnacentral:rRNA from 1 species
GAUAAACGCUGGCGGCGCACAUAAGACAUGCAAGUCGAACGAACUUAAGCCUUAGUUUACUAUGGUAGCGGUUAGUGGCGGACUGGUGAGUAACACGUAAGCAACCUGCCUAUCAGAGGGGAACAACAGUUAGAAAUGACUGCUAAUACCGCAUAUACCUAAGUAUCGCAUGAUACAAUAGGGAAAGGAGCAAUCCGCUGAUAGAUGGGCUUGCGUCUGAUUAGCUAGUUGGUGGGGUAAAGGCCUACCAAGGCGACGAUCAGUAGCCGGACUGAGAGGUUGAACGGCCACAUUGGGACUGAGAUACGGCCCAG